GACGAACGCUGGCGGCGUGCUUAACACAUGCAAGUCGCACGGUAAGGCCCUUUCGGGGGUACACGAGUGGCGAACGGGUGAGUAACACGUGAGUAACCUGCCCACAACUUUGGGAUAACGCUAGGAAACUGGUGCUAAUACUGGAUAUGUGCUCCUGCUGCAUGGUGGGGGUUGGAAAGCUCCGGCGGUUGUGGAUGGACUCGCGGCCUAUCAGCUUGUUGGUGGGGUAGUGGCCUACCAAGGCGGCGACGGGUAGCCGGCCUGAGAGGGUGACCGGCCACAUUGGGACUGAGAUACGGCCCAGACUCCUACGGGAGGCAGCAGUGGGGAAUAUUGCACAAUGGGCGCAAGCCUGAUGCAGCAACGCCGCGUGCGGGAUGACGGCCUUCGGGUUGUAAACCGCUUUCAGCAGGGACGAAGCUUUUUGUGACGGUACCUGCAGAAGAAGCACCGGCUAACUACGUG
rnacentral:rRNA from 1 species